rnacentral:rRNA from 1 species
UACGGGGGGGGGCAAGCGUUGUUCGGAAUUACUGGGCGUAAAGCGCACGUAGGCGGCUUUGCAAGUCAGAGGUGAAAGCCUGUGGCUCAACCACAGAAUUGCCUUCGAUACUGUUUGGCUUGAGACCGGAAGAGGUUAGUGGAACUGCGAGUGUAGAGGUGAAAUUCGUAGAUAUUCGCAAGAACACCAGUGGCGAAGGCGGCUCACUGGCCCGAUACUGACGCUGGACGGCACGAAAGCGUGGG